rnacentral:lncRNA from 1 species
AGCUGGGACUGCAGGCGCCCACCACCAUGCCCGGCUAAUUUUUUGUAUUUUUAGUAGAGACGGGGUUUCACCGUGUUAGCCAGGAUGGUCUCGAUCUCCUGACCUCAUGAUCCACCCGCCUCGGCCUCCCAAAGUGCUGGGAUUACAGGCGUGAGCCACCGUGCCUGGCGCUUGCUUGUCGGUGUUAUUAUUUUAAUCUUACCUUCUAUGUGGUGACCAGCUCCUCCGAGCGAUGCCCAGGUCGGGCACGGCCCGGGCAGGGCAGGUCUGCAGCGAUGCCGUGGCAGAGGUGGGCAUACUCCAUUUGUUUUGGCAGCUGCAGCCAUUGAUUCU